rnacentral:rRNA from 1 species
CAGUCGCCGCGGGAACACGUAGGUGGCAAGCGUUGUCCGGAAUUAUUGGGCGUAAAGGGCUCGCAGGCGGUUUCUUAAGUCUGAUGUGAAAGCCCCCGGCUCAACCGGGGAGGGUCAUUGGAAACUGGGAAACUUGAGUGCAGAAGAGGAGAGUGGAAUUCCACGUGUAGCGGUGAAAUGCGUAGAGAUGUGGAGGAACACCAGUGGCGAAGGCGACUCUCUGGUCUGUAACUGACGCUGAGGAGCGAAAGCGUGGGGAGCGAACAGGAUUAGAUACCCGAGUAGUCCCUGUCUCUUAUAC